UUUACAGAGCCAAGAAACUGCUGUGGCCGAGUAUACCAAAUCCUGAGAACAGCAAUGCUGUUCAGAAAAUUGAAAUUGCCUAUGAACUGGGUAUCCUGGAGCCACUGAACAGACAGAGGUUAGAGGAGAGUGAGGGAUGUGAUUCUAGUACGGUGUGUGUCGUUGGGAGCAAGAGGGAGGCAUCUCCUCUCAGCAGCCCUCCUACCACCCUUCUCCUCAGUGAAGAUGAGGACAGCCCAUCCAUCCCGGAGGAGAUCGCACCACCUGACAUCCCAACCAGAGAGUCUGUUAUCAAAGAGACUCUUCCUACGGACUUUAAUAAAACAGACUCCGUUUUGAGCACUUCUCUUGAUGAAGAAGUCACAACCUUUGAAAGCAAAGACCCUGGAGAGAUCGUCUCCAACACGACAGUAUCGGACUUCGUCCCAGCAUCCCAACCUGCUGUGGUUUUCAUGAGCGAUUACACUACCAUGGAGAUCUUCCAGCAGGUCACUAUGACUGGGAUUCAGGGUCCAUCCAUACAAACAGUAAAACCUGGAUUGGUUGCUGUACAUCCAGGGCAGGAUUAUGUUCAGCAGUCCUAUUUUUUGGAAGAAAUAGUCAAGGAACCACCAGUGGCAUUUAACGGUACUGAUGUUUUGAACCCAGAAAUCACAGUGCUUUGAGAUGCUCUUAUCCGUUGAUUUAGAGGACACUUACUAUACAGACACAAUCCCUCUGGGGCACUCUGAGAUUAGGAGCUUAAAUUCAGGGUACAAUGUUCAUUGUCCUAUUCCUGACAGCUUUAGCUGCUACUCAACACCUCCCAUAAAAGAUGGAAUACGCUACUUGUAUUGACAGUGAAUUGGACUCAGGUCUCCGAAUUCUACCUCUGAAGCACCAGUUCUUGUGACAGAGACCACUGCAUCAAUGACACAGCCCUAGAUGUUCCUUAAAAGGGGUCAUGAAAUGCAUUUUCAGAUCUUUAUAUUAUGUUUCUGGAGGUUAUCAAUGUUUUAUUGCAUAAAAAAAAAUUGUAAACUACGACAAGUUUCCAUCCUUAUUUUCACUAUUUCACAAACACUUAAUUUCAAGGGGUUACC
rnacentral:lncRNA from 1 species